GACGGAACUGCAAUUUGAUNGAAAGCCCGGGNUCNACCGCGGANUGCAUCGGAUACUGUGGAUUUGGAGGNCNGAGGGGCAAGCGGAAUUCCUGUGUAGCGGUGAAUGCGUAGAUAUCAGGAGGAACACCGGCGGCGAAGGCGGCUUGCUGGACGGCAACUGACGUUGAGGCUCGAAAGCGUGGGGAGCAAACAGGAUUAGAUACCCUGGUAGUCCAUGCCGUAAACGAUGUCUACUAGCCGUUGGGGCCUUUGAGGCUUUAGUGGCGCAGCUAACGCGAUAAGUAGACCGCCUGGGGAGUACGGUCGCAAGACUAAAACUCAAAUGAAUUGACGGGGGCCCGCACAAGCGGU
rnacentral:rRNA from 1 species